GUCAGGGUAGCUCAGCUGGUUAGAGCGUUGGAUUCAUAACCCAGAGGUCGGGAGUUCAAGUCUCCCCCCUGACACCA
rnacentral:tRNA from 1 species